GACGAACGCUGGCGGCGUGCUUAACACAUGCAAGUCGAACGGAAAGGCCCUGCUUUUGUGGGGUGCUCGAGUGGCGAACGGGGGAGUAACACGUGAGUAACCUGCCCUUGACUUUGGGAUAACUUCAGGAAACUGGGGCUAAUACCGGAUAGGAGCUCCUGCUGCAUGGUGGGGGUUGGAAAGUUUCGGCGGUUGGGGAUGGACUCGCGGCUUAUCAGCUUGUUGGUGGGGUAGUGGCUUACUAAGGCUUUGACGGGUAGCCGGCCUGAGAGGGUGACCGGCCACAUUGGGACUGAGAUACGGCCCAGACUCCUACGGGAGGCAGCAGUGGGGAAUAUUGCACAAUGGGCGGAAGCCUGAUGCAGCAACGCCGCGUGCGGGAUGACGGCCUUCGGGUUGUAAACCGCUUUCGCCUGUGACGAAGCGUGAGUGACGGUAAUGGGUAAAGAAGCACCGGCUAACUACGUG
rnacentral:rRNA from 1 species